GGAUAGCUCAGUUGGUAGAGCAGGAAACUCUUAAUCUUAGGGUCAUGUGUUUGAGACCCACGUUGGACA